UGGGGAAUAUUGCACAAUGGGCGAAAGCCUGAUGCAGCAACGCCGCGUGCGGGAUGACGGCCUUCGGGUUGUAAACCGCUUUCAGCAGGGACGAAGGUUUUCUGACGGUACCUGCAGAAGAAGCACCGGCUAACUACGUGCCAGCAGCCGCGGUGAUACGUAGGGUGCGAGCGUUGUCCGGAAUUAUUGGGCGUAAAGAGCUUGUAGGCGGUCCGUUGCGUCGGAAGUGAAAACUCAGGGCUUAACCCUGAGCCUGCUUUCGAUACGGGCGGACUUGAGGGAUGUAGGGGAGAACGGAAUUCCUGGUGGAGCGGUGGAAUGCGCAGAUAUCAGGAGGAACACCAGUGGCGAAGGCGGUUCUCUGGACAUUUCCUGACGCUGAGAAGCGAAAGCGUGGGGAGCAAACAGGCUUAGAUACCCUGGUAGUCCACGCCGUAAACGGUGGGCACUAGGUGUGGGACCCAUUCCACGGGUUCCGUGCCGUAGCUAACGCAUUAAGUGCCCCGCCUGGGGUAGUACGGCCGCAAGGCUAAAAC
rnacentral:rRNA from 1 species